CCAAACUGUUGCCUCGGCGGGAUCUCUGCCCCGGGUGCGUCGCAGCCCCGGACCAAGGCGCCCGCCGGAGGACCAACCAAAACUCUUUUUGUAUACCCCCUCGCGGGUUUUUUAUAAUCUGAGCCUUCUCGGCGCCUCUCGUAGGCGUUUCGAAAAUGAAUCAAAACUUUCAACAACGGAUCUCUUGGUUCUGGCAUCGAUGAAGAACGCAGCGAAAUGCGAUAAGUAAUGUGAAUUGCAGAAUUCAGUGAAUCAUCGAAUCUUUGAACGCACAUUGCGCCCGCCAGUAUUCUGGCGGGCAUGCCUGUCCGAGCGUCAUUUCAACCCUCGAACCCCUCCGGGGGGUCGGCGUUGGGGAUCGGCCCUGCCUCUUGGCGGUGGCCGUCUCCGAAAUACAGUGGCGGUCUCGCCGCAGCCUCUCCUGCGCAGUAGUUUGCACACUCGCAUCGGGAGCGCGGCGCGUCCACAGCCGUUAAACACCCAACUUCUGAAAUGUUGACCUCGGAUCAGGUAGGAAUACCCGCUGAACUUAAGCAUAUCAAUAAGCGGAGGAAAG
rnacentral:rRNA from 1 species